AACGAACGCUGGCGGUGUGCUUAACACAUGCAAGUCGAACGAGAAAGUUUCCUUCGGGAAGCUAGUAAAGUGGCGCAAGGGUGAGUAACACGUGAAUAAUCUGCCCUCGAGAUCGGGAUAACCUGAGGAAACUUAGGCUAAUACCGGAUAAGACCACAUUUCAUAUGGAAUGUGGGAAAAGGAGUCUCAAUCUUCACUCGAGGAUGAGUUCGCGGACCAUUAGCUUGUUGGUGAGAUAAAAGCUCACCAAGGCAACGAUGGUUAGCCGGCCUGAGAGGGCGAUCGGCCACACUGGAACUGAGAAAGGUCCAGUCCCCUACGGGGGCCAGCAGUCUAGAAAUUUGCGCAAUGGGGGAAACCCUGACGCAGCGACGCCACGUGGAGGAUG
rnacentral:rRNA from 1 species